rnacentral:rRNA from 1 species
UGCUUUAUGGGUAUAAAUAUAAAGUAAUCUCCUGCCCAGUGAAUUUUAACGGCCGCGGUAUCCUAACCGUGCAAAGGUAGCAUAAUAAUUUGCCUAUUAAUUGUAGGCUAGCAUGAACGGGGAAUCGAAAUAAGAUCUAUCUAAAUAAUAAAUAUUAAAAAUUAUUCUAAAAGUGAAGAAACUUUUAUUCCAUUAAAGGACAAGAAGACCCUAUAGAGCUUCAUCUUAAUAAAUAUUUUAUUUUACAAGAUUCGGUUGGGGCGACCUAUGAAAACUCAUCCUUUUAUAUCUUGAUUCAUUUAUCUAUUCAUUGAUCCUUUUAAGACCAAAAAAUAAAGCUACCUUAGGGAUAACAGUCUAAUUCUACUAUAGAGUCCCUAUCAACAGUAGAGAUUGGCACCUCGAUGUUGGCUUAGAUUUCCUUUGUGGCGCAGAUGUCAAUAUAAGGGGGUUUGUUCAACCCAUAAAUAUCU